rnacentral:misc_RNA from 1 species
UUAAUAAAAAUCGGUGUGUUGCUUCUUUGUGACGCUCCGGAGUUUGGGUCAUCUUAAUAUAUCCUUUAGGUUUUAAGAGGCUUAAAAUUGACUUUUUUUUGCGCAUUUUAUUAGAUGUACAUAAAUUUUUUUUUUUAUUCGUCUGUCUUAAUGCUCAAAAUCCUAUUAGAUGCAACCAUAUCGUGUGGUUUCGUGUCUAUAAAUUUUUCAUG